rnacentral:rRNA from 1 species
GACGAACGCUGGCGGCGUGCUUAACACAUGCAAGUCGAACGGCAAGGCCCUGCUUUUGUGGGGUUAUCGAGUGGCGAACGGGUGCGUAACACGUGAGUAACCUGCCCUUGACUUUGGGAUAACUUCAGGCAACUGGGGCUACUACAGGAUAGGAGCUCCUGCUGCAUGGUGGGGGUUGGAAAGUUUCGGCGGUUGGGGAUGGACUGGCGGCUUAUCAGCUUGUUGGUGGGGUAGUGGCUUACCCAGGCUUUGACGGGUAGCCGGCCUGAGAGGGUGACCGGCGACAUUGGUACUGAGAGACGGCCCAGACUGCUACGGGAGGCAGCAGGGGGGAAUAUUGCACAAUGGGCGGAAGCCGGAGGCAGCAGCGCCGCGUGCGGGAUGACGGCCUUCGGGUUGUAAACCGCUUUCGCCUGUGACGAAGCGUGAGUGACGGUAAUGGGUAAAUAAGCACCGGCUAACUACGUG